rnacentral:rRNA from 2 species
UAAGCAAUUAUACAGCGAAACUGCGAAUGGCUCAUUAUAUAAGUUAUCGUUUAUUUGAUAGUACCUUACUACUUGGAUAACCGUGGUAAUUCUAGAGCUAAUACAUGCUAAAAAUCCCGACUUCGGAAGGGAUGUAUUUAUUAGAUUAAAAACCAAUGCCCUUCGGGGCUCUCUGGUGAUUCAUGAUAACUUCUCGAAUCGCAUGGCCUUGCGCCGGCGAUGGUUCAUUCAAAUUUCUUCCCUAUCAACUUUCGAUGUUUGGGUAUUGGCCAAACAUGGUUGCAACGGGUAACGGAGGGUUAGGGCUCGACCCCGGAGAAGGAGCCUGAGAAACGGCUACUACAUCCAAGGAAGGCAGCAGGCGCGCAAAUUACCCAAUCCCGACUCGGGGAGGUAGUGACAAUAAAUACUGAUACAGGGCUCUUUUGGGUCUUGUAAUUGGAAUGAGUACAAUUUAAAUCCCUUAACGAGGAACAAUUGGAGGGCAAGUCUGGUGCCAGCAGCCGCGGUAAUUCCAGCUCCAAUAGCGUAUAUUAAAGUUGUUGUGGUUAAAAAGCUCGUAGUUGAACCUUGGGCCUGGCUGGCCGGUCCGCCUCACCGCGUGUACUGGUCCGGCCGGGCCUUUCCCUCUGUGGAACCCCAUGCCCUUCACUGGGUGUGGCGGGGAAACAGGACUUUUACUUUGAAAAAAUUAGAGUGCUCCAGGCAGGCCUAUGCUCGAAUACAUUAGCAUGGAAUAAUAGAAUAGGACGUGUGGUUCUAUUUUGUUGGUUUCUAGGACCGCCGUAAUGAUUAAUAGGGACAGUCGGGGGCAUCAGUAUUCAAUUGUCAGAGG